GGACAAGAAAACGUUUAGUUGGAUCAGGAGCAGCAAGUACAGGGGCAUUGGUCAGAGCCGUCUUCAGUUGGUUGAAUGCCUGUUCACACUCUGGGGCCCAGAUGACCUGCCUGGGCAGGUUUUUCUUCAUCAAGUCAGUCAGGGGCUUGGCCAGGGCACUGUAAUUGGGCACAAACUUCCUAUAAUACCCAGCGGUACCUAAGAAGGCAAGGACUUGGGUUUUAG